rnacentral:rRNA from 1 species
AACCAUAGAACUGCAUUGGAAACUGGUUACCUAGAGUAUGGGAGGGGGAGAUGGAAUUGGUGGUGUAGGGGUAAAAUCCGUAGAUAUCACUAGGAAUACCGAAAGCGAAGGCGAUCUCCUGGAACAAUACUGACGCUAAGGCGUGAAAGCGUGGGGAGCAAACGGGAUUAGAUACCCCGGUAGUCCACGCCCUAAACGAUGUUCACUAGUCGUCGGAAUGCUAGUCAUUUCGGUGAUGCACUUAACAGAUUAAGUGAACCGCCUGGGGAGUACGGUCGCAAGAUUAAAACUCAAAGGAAUAGACGGGGACCCGCACAAGUGGCGGAGCAUGUGGUUUAAUUCGAAGAUACGCGAAGAACCUUACCUAGCCUUGACAUUGAUUGAAUACUUUAGAGAUAGAGUAGUGCCCUUCGGGGAACAUGAAAACAGGUGCUGCACGGCUGUCGUCAGCUCGUGUCGUGAGAUGUUGGGUUAAGUCCCGCAACGAGCGCAACCCUCGUCCUUAGUUGCCAGCAGGUUAAGCUGGGCACUUUAAGGAGACUGCCUUCGCAAGGAGGAGGAAGGUGAGGACGACGUCAAGUCAUCAUGGCCCUUAUGGCUAGGGCUACACACGUGCUACAAUGGGGCGUACAGAGAGUUGCGAUACCGCGAGGUGGAGCCAAUCUCAUAAAGCGUCUCUCAGUUCGGAUUGAAGUCUGCAA